AACGAACGCUGGCGGCAUGCCUAACACAUGCAAGUCGAACGGAUGCAGCAAUGCAUCAGUGGCAGACGGGUGAGUAACACGUGGGAAUCUACCCAGUAGCCUGGAAUAACCGCGGGAAACUGCGGCUAAUACCGGAUACGCCCCUCGGGGGAACGGAGCAAGCCACUAUGGGAGGGAGCCUCUUCAGAUUAGCUAGUUGGUGAGGUAACGGCUCACCAAGGCGAUGAUCGGUAGCUGGUUUGAGAGAACGACCAGCCACACUGGGACUGAGACACGGCCCAGACUCCUACGGGAGGCAGCAGUGGGGAAUAUUGGACAAUGGGGGAAACCCUGAUCCAGCAAUGCCGCGUGGGUGAUGAAGGCCUGCGGGUUGUAAAGCCCUUUUGGCGGGGACGAUGAUGACGGUACCCGCAGAAGAAGCCCCGGCUAACUUCGUGCCAGCAGCCGCAGUAA
rnacentral:rRNA from 1 species